GAAAGUGCUCAUCCUUCCCCAGGACUCGGACACGGAGACCUGCACAGCCACCAAACCAGGCCCACGAGGUCAUGGCACAGGGCAGAGUAUCCCAAUGGCCCUUUUUGGACAAGAUUGCUCAGGAACGGCGCGGCCGAUGCGGGAGGUGACACAUUCGGGACCUGUGUCUCGAGGGCACAAGUCCAACACUGUACUGACUGACUGGCUCUGUCUGAGAACACAGCCUCAGGCACAGACUGUUAGGGGUAACUCUAUGUGGGAAAAGAGCGGAUGACAUGAAUCCUGUUAGUUCUGAGACAG